GAUGAACGCUGGCGGCGUGCCUAAUACAUGCAAGUCGAGCGAACAGACGAGGAGCUUGCUCCUCUGACGUUAGCGGCGGACGGGUGAGUAACACGUGGAUAACCUACCUAUAAGACUGGGAUAACUUCGGGAAACCGGAGCUAAUACCGGAUAAUAUAUUGAACCGCAUGGUUCAAUAGUGAAAGACGGUUUUGCUGUCACUUAUAGAUGGAUCCGCGCCGCAUUAGCUAGUUGGUAAGGUAACGGCUUACCAAGGCAACGAUGCGUAGCCGACCUGAGAGGGUGAUCGGCCACACUGGAACUGAGACACGGUCCAGACUCCUACGGGAGGCAGCAGUAGGGAAUCUUCCGCAAUGGGCGAAAGCCUGACGGAGCAACGCCGCGUGAGUGAUGAUGGUCUUCGGAUCGUAAAACUCUGUUAUUAGGGAAGAACAAAUGUGUAAGUAACUAUGCGCGUCUUGACGGUACCUAAUCAGAAAGCCACGGCUAACUACGUG
rnacentral:rRNA from 1 species